rnacentral:tRNA from 1 species
GGGGAUAUGGCGAAAUCGGUAGACGCUACGGACUGUUGAAAUUUGAAAAAAGAAUCAAAUAUUCAUUCAUCAAAUCAUUCACUCCAUAGUCUGAUAGAUCUUUUGAAGAGCUGAUUAAUCGGACGAGAAUAAAGAUAGAGUCCCAUUCUACAUGUCAAUACUGACAACAAUGAAAUUUAUAGUAAGAGGAAAAUCCGUCGACUUUUAAAAUCGUGAGGGUUCAAGUCCCUCUAUCCCCA